UACGGGGGGGGCAAGCGUUGUUCGGAAUUACUGGGCGUAAAGGGCUCGUAGGCGGCCAACUAAGUCAGACGUGAAAUCCCCAGGCUUAACCUGGGAACUGCGUCUGAUACUGGAUGGCUUGAAUUCGGGAGAGGGAUGCAGAAUUCCAGGUGUAGCGGUGAAAUGCGUAGAUAUCAGGAGGAACACCGGUGGCGAAGGCGGGUCUCUGGGCCGAUACUGACGCUGAGGAGCGAAAGCGUGGGGAGCGAACAGG
rnacentral:rRNA from 1 species